AGCUUUGCACAGUGGCAGUAUCAUAGCCAAUGAGGUUAAUCCGAGGCACGAUUAUUGCUAAUUGAAUGACUUGAACAUUCCUGUGUUUGCUACAUAAUUGACACAAUUGUGU
rnacentral:snRNA from 11 species